CGGCGUGCCUAAUACAUGCAAGUCGAACGCACUCUCGUUUAGAUUGAAGGAGCUUGCUCCUGAUUGAUAAACAUUUGAGUGAGUGGCGGACGGGUGAGUAACACGUGGGUAACCUGCCCUAAAGUGGGGAUAACAUUUGGAAACAGAUGCUAAUACCGCAUAAAACCUAACACCGCAUGGUGUAGGGUUGAAAGAUGGUUUCGGCUAUCACUUUAGGAUGGACCCGCGGUGCAUUAGUUAGUUGGUGAGGUAAAGGCUCACCAAGACCGUGAUGCAUAGCCGACCUGAGAGGGUAAUCGGCCACACUGGGACUGAGACACGGCCCAGACUCCUACGGGAGGCAGCAGUAGGGAAUCUUCCACAAUGGACGAAAGUCUGAUGGAGCAACGCCGCGUGAGUGAAGAAGGUUUUCGGAUCGUAAAACUCUGUUGUUGGAGAAGAAUGUAUCUGAUAGUAACUGAUCAGGUAGUGACGGUAUCCAACCAGAAAGCCACGGCUAACUACGUG
rnacentral:rRNA from 1 species